rnacentral:rRNA from 1 species
UACGGAGGAUCCGAGCGUUAUCCGGAUUUAUUGGGUUUAAAGGGUGCGCAGGCGGGAGAUUAAGUCGGCGGUGAAAUUUUGCAGCUCAACCGUAAAAGUGCCUUCGAUACUGGUGGUCUUGAGUGUGGAUGAGGUAGGCGGAAUUUGUGGUGUAGCGGUGAAAUGCAUAGAUAUCACGAGGAACUCCGAUUGCUAAGGCAGCUUACUAAGCCAUAACUGACGCUCAAGCACGAAGGCGUGGGGAUCAAACAGGAUUAGAUACCCCCGUAGU